GUGCUGGCUUCAGCAGCACACAUACUAAAAUUACAAUGGUACAGAGAAGAUUACCAUGGUCUGUGCACAAGGAUGACAUGCACAUUUGUGAAGUGCUUCAGAUUGUA
ensembl:snRNA U6 U6 spliceosomal RNA